AACGCACAUUGCGCCCUCUGGUAUUCCGGAGGGCAUGCCUGUUCGAGCGUCAUGUAAAGAUAUAUCAAGCACUGCUUGGCCUUGAGUUGACAUGUCUCCGUAGAACGAGGCAGGCUCUAAAUUUGUCGGCGGUGGCUAUUGGCCUCGAGCGUAGUAGAUUAUUCCGCUUUCGAGUGCUUACAGACACCCGCUUCCAACAACCCAAAUAUACCCAUCACAUUGACCUCGGAUCAGGUAGGGAUACCCGCUGAACUUAA
rnacentral:misc_RNA from 1 species